UAGGGUCACUCUUUAAAAGUGCAGAGUUGCAAGUAAAAAGAAACGUAGUUUUGUCCCUGAGCAAGAAUGACACGCAAAUUCAUGAAGUGUUCCAUAUUUUA
rnacentral:snRNA from 1 species